AAACCAGGACCACGAAACCCACACCACAGCCCCACGGAACAUCCUCAACCACAACCCUCUUCUUCUUCUCCAAACCCCUUCUCAUCAUUUAUAUAACCAGCCCUCAUCUCCUCACCACACCCUCACAACCACAAACCACACCCACUUGCCCCCUCCCAAGAACUUCUUCUUCAAGUUUUCAUCUGGGUUUUUUGAUUGAACCCAACAAUCAGGCCAUCUUGUUGCAGAAAGAGGAAGGCGAGGAAGGCGAAGAAGGUGUUUGAUAAGUUCUUCUCUUCGGGGGUAAAACCCAGGUUCGACGAGUUGUUGACAUCACGGCUAUACACGGAGUUCCUCGGCCGCUAAUUCAUGUCCGGGCUGUCCAACGAAAGGGUUGUGUAGUUGAGAGCAACCCUUCGCCGCACGGCGGGCGUGGUGCUUUGCCUUCCGAAGGCGGUAGCCCCUCCGACCUUCUCUUUCUUGCUGGUGGUGGUUCUGCCUCCUCUCUUUUUUCCUUCUGCGUUUAUUAGCUCUAGUUUCUGUUUUGAUUUUUAGAGAUUUUUCCUCUUCUUCUUCUGUAAAGCACGAGUAGAUCGUAUUGUUGUUGUUGUGGGGGGUUUAAGGUUGGUGGUGUUUGAUUUUUACUGAGAAACGAAGAACAAAACGAAAAAGGAAAAAAAAAUGAGAGAGAGUAAUGAUGUUGAGGAUCAAGAGGGUUCCUACUGUAGUUUCGAAUUACCAGUAAGAUGAGGCGGAAGAGGGUGCUCGCCGCGUUGGGGGUUGUGGCCGCAACUGUCUUAAUCAAUGUUGCAUUCCAGGGGCAAAGCUUCCGUUGUAUGCUUUCAAGAAGCUGAACAAGAUUGAUGGUGAUAAGGAGUUGCCCGGAAGUGAGAAAAGAGAGCCUCCCGUUGACUUUCUUGACUCACUGCUUCUUGGGGAGUGGGAAGAUGGCAUGCAGAGAGGGCUGUUUCGUUAUGACAUCACUGCCUGUGAAACCAAGGUGAUCCCGGGGCAGUUUGGUUUCAUAGCCCAGCUGAAUGAGGGUCGCCACUUGAAGAAGAGACCAACUGAGUUCCGAGUUGAUAAGGUCCUCCAGCCCUUUGAUGGCAACAAGUUUAACUUCACCAAAGUUGGGCAAGAGAAGGUCCUCUUCCAGUUUGAAGCAAGCGAAGAUGGUGAAGUUCAGUUUAUCCCUAGUGCGCCCAUUGAGCCUGAAAAUUCGCCCAGUGUUGUUGCCAUCAAUGUACGCUCUUUGUUCUUGUACAUUAGUUGUUCUUAACAGGUUAUUUGAACAAAAAAGUUAUAUCAUUUACCAUCCACCAUUCAACUGACGAUCCGUCCAAGACUCAGUUCAUCAAUCGAGACGAUACUGUUGUUGCUCCUGCUAAAGAAGCAAACUUUGUGAAGCUGCUAGUACAAAGUAAAAGAGGACAAAGAAGGAA